CCUACGGGGGGCAGCAGUGAGGAAUAUUGGUCAAUGGACGAGAGUCUGAACCAGCCAAGUAGCGUGAAGGAUGACUGCCCUAUGGGUUGUAAACUUCUUUUAUAUGGGAAUAAAACGUUCCACGUGUGGGAUUUUGUAUGUACCAUAUGAAUAAGGAUCGGCUCACUCCGUGCCAGCAGCCGCGGUAAUACGGAGGAUCCGAGCGUUAUCCGGAUUUAUUGGGUUUAAAGGGAGCGUAGGUGGAUUGUUAAGUAAGUUGUGAAAGUUUGCGGCUCAACCGUAAAAUUGCAGUUGAAACUGGCAGUCUUGAGUACAGUAGAGGUUGGCGGAAUUCGUGGUGGAGCGGUGAAAUGCUUAGAUAUCACGAAGAACUCCGAUUGCGAAGGCAGUUCACUGGACUGCAACUGACACUGAGGCUCGAAAGUGUGGGUAUCAAACAGGAUUAGAGACCCUGGUAGUC
rnacentral:rRNA from 1 species